UACGUAGGGACCAAGCGUUGUCCGGAAUCAUUGGGCGUAAAGGGCGCGUAGGUGGCCCGGUCAGUUCGUGGUGAAAGCGCGGGGCUCAACCCUGCGUCGGCCAUGAAUACUGCCGCGGCUGGAGCACUGUAGAGGCAGGCGGAAUUCCGGGUGUAGCGGUGGAAUGCGUAGAGAUCCGGAAGAACACCUGUGGCGAAGGCGGAUCUCUGGGCCUGUCCUGACGCUGAGGCGCGAAAGCUAGGGGAGCGAACAGG
rnacentral:rRNA from 1 species